rnacentral:rRNA from 1 species
AUUGAACGCUGGCGGCAGGCCUAAUACAUGCAAGUCUAACGAGUGGCGGCUGGGUGAGCAAUGUCUUGGAAACUGCCUGCUCGAGGGGGAUAACUACUGGAAACGGUAGCUCAUACCGCUUACCAUCGUAUCAUCCCAGAUGGGAUUAGCUUGUUGGUGGGGUAACGGCUCAUCAAGGAGACGAUCCCUAGCUGGUCUGAGAGGAUGACAAGCCACACUGGAGCUGAGACACGGUCCAGACGCCUACGGGAGGCAGCAGUGGGGAAUAUUGCACAAUGGGAGAAAGCCUGAUGCAGACAUGCAGCGUGUAUGAAGAAGGCCUUCGGGUUGUAAAGUACUUUCAGCGGGGAGGCGUUACCCGCAGAAAAAGCACCGGCUAACUCCGUGCCAGCAGCCGCGGUAAUAC